AGCUAAUUAUCUGUUCAUUCCAAAAUGGCAAAGUCAGAAUUUGUACAAGAGAAUCAGCCCCCAGCAGGGUAUCCCACGAGUUCUGAUCCACCUGCAGCUCAGAAGUGCUUCCCUCGUUCAAAGAAGAAAGGAGAUAGGGGCUUCAUUGAAGGAUGCUUGUUCGCGCUUUGUUGCUGUUGGCUCUGCGAAGCUUGCUUCUAAACGAUGCUUUGAGGAACCGAUCCUAUGUUUGGUUGAAUACGAGGGAUAACACUUAAUUGGUUAUGAUUGUUGCUCAUAUUUUGUAAUAAAGUAGACAAGUUAGAUGUUAAUAAAGAAUAUUCAGUGUGUU